CACUAAAGCCGAGUACCAACAUGAACAACUUAAUGACACUAAAUUUAAAAUUAUUCGUUAAACAUAUUUCUCAGUAAGACUUAUGUUAUUUUAACCAACUUUGUUAAAAUUGUUUGAGAACAAAGUGUCGCGUAAUUUUUUUGACCUAAAAGAGAGGACGCCGGAAAUAAAUGUGGACUUCUUUAUAAAAAAACCCAUAAGAUUAAACAAAGCAUGAAGAUGUAAUGGAUGGAUCAAGACAAGUAGCUAUGCUAUGAGGCUGUUAACUAGAUCUGGCUAAAAUAGAAAUUCAAUGGCGCUCUUGUGGCCACGGUAUUGAACCUUUGGGCCUUUACAAGUCAGUAACAUUCUUGACUAGCAGUGCAAAUAUUAAUUUCACAAUAUUUCACUACUCGUACGUGGAUUUGUCUGGCACAGUCAUGCAAAUUAUGAACUUGUGACGAAACUUUUGUGGUCUGGAAAAACUGAUAGUUUUUCUUAGUGAUAAUUAUUCCAGACGACGCUUCCAUUUUUCAGUGGUAUGUGCAUGUAAAUAUAUCUAUGGAUGUUCAAUUGAGUCGUAACAAUUAAGGGAUAUCAUUUUGUUUCUUAUCUGUGGUAUGAUCAGCGUUGCUUUUUAAUUUUUGUGUCCAUAAGAGUUCACCUACAUUACUCUUUUUCUACAUGCCACUUCAUCUACACUAACUUUGUUUACAUUUUCUUGCCUACUGUAAUUUUACAAAAUUUUCUUCGGUAUUCUCAAGUUAACCAAAUUCAGUUCACAUUGUUCACCGCCCUGAUGGAGAACGUAGGUUUGACAACAUGAGAAAUUAAUUUCUAGUUAGUUCAAUAGAAAAUACACGGUUUCCUUUGGGUUGUCUGAAUUAUAUUUUAUUAAUUAUAGUUCCCCACACGUAUUGCGAAUUACCAACAUAACAGCGUGAUACUCUGCUAAAAUCCUAAUCCAAGAGCAAAUGUAAUGUAACCUAAUUGUAAUUUUAAUAUCAUACCUAACUCCGAAAACUACAUUGCCCAAUAAAAACUAAAACCCCAAUUACAGCCUUAACCUAACACAUUAAUACGUAAUUGUAAAGAAUACGUUGUCAAAAUUUUGCCAACGUUCAAGGUUAAUGCAAAAAUAUGGAUCACCAGCGAAAUAAAUAUAUUAUACAUACUCGUACUGACAUAACCUACAAUAUAAUUCCACGCUAGUAUAUUUCUAAAUCUAUGUUUGUAGGUAUAAUGUAUUAUUUAUUUCUUAUUAAUGUUUGGGACCGUCAAGAGAUACAAAGUUAGAAAAUCCAUAGAUCACAGACGAUCACUGAUCAUUUUGUGUGACGACAAGACGCAAUGGAAAGCGUUCAGGGUUUUAAGAAUGGCGGUGCAGGGAAAAGUGUUUAGAAUAUGUUACGGUAUAGGCCAAUAUCGUAACAUUUUAUUGAACAGGAACACCACAUCAUUUUACCAGCAAAAUGCAGGCCUUAAAAAAUCACUUGAAGAGAAAUUGGGAUUGCCACCAAAACCUAAGAAACCCCUUACACCAUAUUUUCGUUUUAUGGUCCAGAUUCGACCAAACUUAGUUCAGAAGAAUCCCCAAGCAAAAGUAACAGAUAUUGUGAAGCUGACUGCACAAGAAUGGGAAAAGGCUGACAUCACGGUGCGGCAAAAGUUAGAGGCAGAUUAUAAACGAGAAAUGGUUGACUUUACAGCAGCACAAGUCAAGUAUAACAAAAUGUUAACAGAUGAGCAACGUGAAGAAAUAAAGCUGGCAAAAAUUGACAUUGCAGAAUCAAAAGAAAAAAGAAUGUUGAAGAAGAAAAUGAAAGAGUUGGGAAAGCCAAAGAAACCACUUUCAGCAUUUUUGUUGUUUAUGAAUGAAAGGAAAGACAGACGUGGAACUCAGCCAUUCAGAGAUUGGCAAGUAGCCAUGGGAAAUGAGUGGGAGAAUCUCCCUGAGGAAGAAAAGUCUCAGUACUUAACACAAUAUAAAAAAGCAUCAGAAGGAUAUAAACAUGAAAUCCAAAUCUGGGAGGAAAAAAUGAUUCGGCUUGGACACAUUGAUGUGGUCCGCAAUGAAGCUUUGAUUGAACCUAAGGAACAUAGUACCAGAGUGUCGCGGAGACCUAGAGGAAGUGAACAAUAGGGAUUAGAGUGUCCCGGUCCAAACACCCUGCCUUCAUGCUCAGCUGUAGAUGGAGAUAUGCCAAGAGAUGAAACUAGUUUAUCAUCCCAAGAUACUGGAAAGCUUAUGGGUCGGGACACAGAAGUCACAAAGUUGAGUGUAUUGGAAGAUGACCAAGGCACAUUGCCUAGAGAAAGCAGUAGUGAAGUAGUGAGCACAGAAACUACUGAAAGAAGUAGAAGUAAUAUGUUGAAUGCUACUGAUAAAGGGAAGGGAGUUGAAAAUAAACCAUCUGGAGAGUUGAAAAAUAUUAAAAGAGUAUCCUGAACAACUUCCAGUGUGUGCAGACUGAAAUACACCUUGUGCAGGUAUGUUUGUGUAAAGAUGUUGAAACAAAAAUUUGUAUGGAAAUUCAUACUAGUGGACCACAUGCCAGUACAAGAAGCCACCUCAGUGAUAUAUGCCCCAUUAUUUCAAUUCCAGAUCAGAACCACAUAAUUAAGAUUGUAUUGCCAGAUGGAUCCAGAGUCUAAGCCAUGUAAUGAUAAAAUAUUUAAACCAGCAUUUUCUCUUGCAGUAUGGAUCAGUACAUUAUACUGGAACCUCUUUUCAUAAAGUAAAAAAGGCUUAUGAAAUUUGUAUAAAGGUACUUUUUCAUAGGUUUUUUUCCCUUUUGUAUCUGGUAUUUUAAAAUAUUUAUUUUGAUGUAAAUCUUAGAAACCUUAUCCCAUUGUUGCACAUUAGUAUUGGUGCCUUCCCUUCUAGGAAAAUAAGGUACUGGUUUAAAUCACAAAUAUGAGUUUGAAUGAGCAACCUUGUGGUAGCUAUGUGCUAACUCAUGAACUAUCAGCAUGAUGACACCAUUGUCUGAAGUUCUGUGGUGAGAAUCAUCAUUCAUCAAUGUUUCCAUGAAGGUGGACGGACAGACAGACGUUGCCAUUCUUUAUUGUAUUGUUUUCUCUAUGUUGUAUAUUGUAUCUGUUUUUUCUCUAUGUUGAAGUGGUUUCUCAUAGUUUAUGUUUGAAAUGAGGUAGGAAUUUUGAAGAAUGUUUAGAAUAUUAAUUACACUUGAUGAAGCUAUUCUGAUUGUAAUUGUCACUCACCAUAUUGACCCAUCUUGAGAACUGUAUAAUAAAGAGAAGCAUGUCACUUGGUGACCACAUGGUCCUUAAGUUAUAUUGUUACCUGUAACUAAAACAUGGAUUAAUUAUUUUAUGGGAGUCAAAUAUAAUCUUGUCUGAUAAAUUGAGUAUUUUGAAGUAUAUAACUAUGCUAAGACAUAUUUUCUCAAUUUAUUGAAUAUUUUAUUUCAUAAUUUUUAUUGACAAUAACCAUACAGAAAUGUUUAACACUCAUCGUACAUUGAUGAACACACAUAAGAAAUACUAUUUACAUUUCAAAUCAGUCAUAGAAUUUUGUAUUUGAGUUUUGAAGUGCAAAUAUUUUUUUGUGAAUAAACAAAUUUCAUGUGCACUAUUGA